rnacentral:lncRNA from 1 species
UUCGAACAAAACAAAAAGGACCCGUAGAGUUUUUUUUUAAAGCAACUUUAUUAACGGUAAUAAACAAUUUUAUAUUUAAUUUGCAUCUGAUUGUUGAGGUUUUAACAUUAUUAAUAAAUUUAUAUUUUUCCAAAAAAGCGGCGUCAGCGGUCAUGGGGAUGCCGUAUACGCCAUUCGAAAAUGUAGAGUGAGUUGGCCUGGGGAGCCAGUGAUGUGAAACCGACAAGUCUUCAGGGAAUCUGAAUGUGUCAGUAUUCACUCUCAAAAGCUGACAAGUAUGUGAUGUUAAAACAUUAAAG